rnacentral:rRNA from 1 species
AUUGAACGCUGGCGGCAGGCCUAACACAUGCAAGUCGAACGAGUGGCGGACGGGUGAGUAAUGUAUGGGAAACUGCACGAUGGAGGGGGAUAACUACUGGAAACGGUAGCUAAUAACGCAUACCAUCGGAUGUGCCCGGAUGGUAUUAGCUGGUAGGUGGGGUAACGGCUCACCUAGGCGAAGAUCCCUAGCUGGUCUGAGAGGAGGACCAGCCACACGGGAACGUCGACACGGUCCAGACUACGACGGGAGGCAGCAGAGGGGAAUAUUGCACGAUGGGCGGUAGCCUGAGGCAGCCAUGCCGGGUGUAUGAAGAAGGCCUUCGGGUUGUAAAGUACUUUCAGCUAGUCGGCGUUACUCGCAGAAGAAGCACCGGCUAACUCCGUGCCAGCAGCCGCGGUAAUUC